UUUUUGGUUUUAAAACUAACUUUGAGCUGACUCCCUCUCCCUGUCUCACUGUCAUUCUAGAAUGAGAAAUGGGGAUCAUGGGACUUGCCAUGUGGGUGCUGGAAAUGAAACCCAGGCCAUCUGAGAAGCUGAGCAGUGUGUGCUCUUAACCACUGUGUCGCCCAUCUCUCCAGUUAGAUUCAUCACGUCUCUUUAAAAACAAAACAAAAAACAUUUAUUUCUCUGUGUGUGAGUACACACCACAUCUUAUGUAAAGAUGAAAGUAAUUGUUUUCCCUUUCCUAUGUGGCUCCUAGGGAAUGUAUUCUUACCCACUGAGCCCAUCAUCUUACUGGUCCUGUCUAGACUUAAGUUUAAAGAGCCAGUCUGGGUAGUAUAGUUAGUGUAAGGUCAACUGAUUGGAGACCAUUAUUUUCGAAGUCCCUUUUGAUAUCACAUGUAUAACAUAAUUGUAUAAUUAUGUAUUUAAGUAUUCAUACUUGAGGAAGAGAUUUUUCUAAAGCUGAAUGCCAAUCAACAAGAGUUCUCUCUCUUUUUUUUAAGCGGGGCUUAGAAAAAUAAUACUAGUUUACAAUUAUGGGGGUUUUGCACCAUAUUUGCAUCACAUGCACGCCUUGUGCCAGAACUGGGUGUUGGAUCCUCUAGAACUGGAAUUUUCAGAUGAUUCAGAGCCACCAUGUGGAUGCUGGGAAUCAAAGCCAAUCCUCAAAGAGCAGCCAGUGCUCUUAACCAUUGAGCCAUCUCUUCGGCCCUAUUUAAGUGGGUUUGGUUGGGUUUUUUGUAUGUGUUUGUUUGUUUUAUUUUGUUUUAAGACAAGAUCUUGCUAUACAGUCCAUGCUAGCUUCAGUUUUGCUGUUUGGCUUUCCUAAAACAGAAAUUAUAUACAUGAGCCACCAGUGAUAGAUACUUAGGGUUAAUUUGGAAUCUACAGAUUUUUAAGAACACAAAAUAAUGGGGAAGCUGCUAGAUAUUAGAGAAAGGUUUUUGUUGUUGUUGUUGUUUGUUUGUUGGUGGCUUUUGGGUAGGAGUUGGAGUUGUUGGUUUUGGACAGGCUGAGGAAUUUACCACUUAACCUGCAGCACCAGAACUCUCAGAUGUGGGUAUGAGCUAUAUCCUUGCAUAGUCCUCACAUGAUGUCUUCCUGAAGGCAGAAGAAAUUUAAAGUGGUAGGUGAAAGGGAAUUAAGUUGUAAACUUGUUAAAAUUGAGAUUUCUUAACUAAGAUUCAUGGUGGCAUGCAUAGAAAAAUUCUCCUCUUUUUAUAUAGAAAUGUAAUAUAAAUUAAAAUGGAUACAGUUCAGGUCCACAUGUAUAAAGCACACAUUGCUUAAUACCAAUUCAAAGUCUUAAGCUGUGCACCCUGACUUUUCUAACCUUGACUAUGGUAUGUCCAUUUAGAGAGCAGGAGAGAAGUAGGACAGAUACUCCAUGAUAUGAUACACUUUCCUAACCUAGAUAGCAGCACAUGCAUGUGGGUCAUCCAGCUGCAAGAGGGGCUAGGCUAUGUAUGUUUCAUUGUUAUGGAUGACUUUGUAACUAUUUUAAAAUCAAGCAACACAUACCUGUCUAUAAUUACAGUACUUGUGAGGCAAAAUGCGGCAUCAAAAGUUCCAGUUAGCCGCAAUAGCAAAUUCUUCUCAACUAACCAAGGACUGGAAUUAUAGUGAACUGGGCUAGGAUUUGCAAGACUCUGUAAUCAAGAUGCUUGUACUUUGAUAUGGCCCAAGGCUGUCAUCUGAGUUUCUACAUGAUUAGUAAUCAGGACACGCAUGUUCAUUCCCUCGGCCCAAACAAAAGCUAAGCUUGGUAGCACACACCUUUAAAUCUGGCAUUCAGGAGGUAGGCAGAUCUCUGUGAGUUCAAGGCCAGCCUGGUCUACAUAAUGAGUUCCAGGACAGCCAAAGGUACAAAGAAACCCUGUUUC
rnacentral:lncRNA from 1 species